CUGCAACCUCCACCUCCCAGGUUCAAGCUAUUCUCCUGCCUCAGCCUCCUGAGUAGCUGGGACUACAGGUGCACACCGCAUGCCUGGCUAAUUUUUGUAUUUUUAAUAGAGACUGGAUUUCGCGAUGUUGGCCCGGCUGGUCUCGAACUCCUGGCCUCAAGUGAUCCACCCGCUUUAGCCUCCCAAAGUGCUGGGAUUACAGGCGUGAGCCACUGCACCCGGCCUAUUUUACCACAAUUUAUAAAAAUUUUUGUUUAUUUUAAUUAAGCUAUUCUAUGUUAAAAUAAGUAGCCACCCUUGGCUGAUGCAUAAAGAAAACAUAAGAGGAAGGAAAGAAUGGAAGCAAGGAGGCAAAUCAUGAGACGAUUUCAGAAAUCAAGACGAAAUCAGGAAAGCUAACAUUAGCAAGAGUGAACCAAACUGAUAAUAUCUUUGAGUUUAAAACUGAAGAAUUUACCAAUGAAGUGCAUAGGAAAGUAAAGAAAAGAGAGUGGUCAAGAUAGGUCCUGGUUUUGGGGCCUGAACAUCUGAGUGGUUAGUAGAAUCAUUACCAGUCGAUAACCCAUGGAAGAGGGUGGGGGAUGGGUGGUGUCUUGUAGGUUGGUUGACAGGACUGACCCAUUGGGAAGAUAAUGAAGAAGCAAAGUAUAUGAAAAGAGGAGAAAGGGUAACCAGAGGAGGGAGGAUACAAAGGGAGUGAUUAGCCAUCAGAAAGAUGAGGGACAUGACAUUUGUUGAGGCAGAUGGCGGAAAAAAGAAAGUUAACAUAGAUGUGGUUAGUUUUGUGGCAUUGACCAAAGGAAGAUUAAGGUGAUACUAUCUGAUGGCUUGGAAUGAAAACCAAACUCCCUGCCACAACAUGAUGAUCUUUCUCUGCAAUUUCAUAUUUUGCCUCUUGUUCCUCAUUUGUUACCACUGAGUCACAAUGGUCUUUUUAGUUUCUCAAACACACCAAGAUCUUUCUUGCCUCAUGUGACCUAGAAUGUUUUCUCCCUUUCUUCGUAUCUCAGUUGAAAGGUCUCCUCUCCUCAUCAUCAUACUAUCUAAAGUAGAUUCCCUCCCUUGUUAACCUCUAGCGCAGCCGUUAGUUCCUUCAUAACACUUACCCUAACUUGCAAGUAUUUUGUUGGUUGAUAUAAUUUUUAUCUGACUUCCCCACUAGAAUGUAAGCUCCAUGAGGGCAAAAAUUGUGUGUUUUGUAUACUGAUGCAUCUCUAGCACUUGGUAUAGCAGGCAUUCAAUAAAUAUCAUUAAAUAAGUUUC
rnacentral:lncRNA from 1 species